GCCACGGUGGUCUAGCGGUUAGAACGCUGGCCUUGUAAUCCUGGGGUCUCGGGUUCGAUUCCUGGUGGUGCCC
rfam:Zootermopsis nevadensis contig9165, whole genome shotgun sequence.